GUUGGUGAACCAGCGGAGGGAUCAUUACCGAGUCACCCGACUCCCAAACCCCGUGUGAACCGUACCGACCGUUGCCUCGGCGGGACCGCCCCGGCGCCCGCCGGAGGACCCAAACCCUCCUGUAUCUCCAGCGGCAUCUUCUGAGUGGAUUACACAAAUGAAUCAAAACUUUCAACAACGGAUCUCUUGGCUCUG
rnacentral:misc_RNA from 1 species